rnacentral:misc_RNA from 1 species
AAGGAGUCUAACAUAUGUGCAAGUUGAUGGGUGGGCACAAUUAGAGACAUAAUGAAAGCAAGCCCUGGUAUCCUUGCACUAGCAUCUGACAAAUUGACAGUAAAAAAGUUUGAGUUCCAACAUAUGUGUUAGGACCCAAAAGAUGGUGAACUAUGUGCGAAAUCAGUAAAUUCACGGGAAACUCUGAUGGACGCUUGUAGCGGUACUGUCGUGCAAAACGUUCGUCAUACUUGAGUAUAGGGGUGAAAGACUACUCGAACCAUCUAGUAGCUGGUUCCCUC